rnacentral:rRNA from 1 species
UACGAAGGGGGCUAGCGUUGUUCGGAAUCACUGGGCGUAAAGCGUACGUAGGCGGACCAUUAAGUCGGGGGUGAAAUCCCAGGGCUCAACCCUGGAACUGCCUUCGAUACUGGUGGUCUGGAGUCCGGGGAGAGGUGAGUGGAACUCCUAGUGUAGAGGUGAAAUUCGUAGAUAUUAGGAAGAACACCAGUGGCGAAGGCGGCUCACUGGCCCGGUACUGACGCUGAGGUACGAAAGCGUGGGUAGCAAACAGG